rnacentral:rRNA from 1 species
AGCGAACGCUGGCGGCAGGCCUAACACAUGCAAGUCGAACGAACUCUUCGGAGUUAGUGGCGGACGGGUGAGUAACACGUGGGAACGUGCCUUUAGGUUCGGAAUAACUCAGGGAAACUUGUGCUAAUACCGAAUGUGCCCUUCGGGGGAAAGAUUUAUCGCCUUUAGAGCGGCCCGCGUCUGAUUAGCUAGUUGGUGAGGUAAAGGCUCACCAAGGCGACGAUCAGUAGCUGGUCUGAGAGGAUGAUCAGCCACAUUGGGACUGAGACACGGCCCAAACUCCUACGGGAAGCAGCAGUGGGGAAUCUUGCGCAAUGGGCGAAAGCCUGACGCAGCCAUGCCGCGUGAAUGAUGAAGGUCUUAGGAUUGUAAAAUUCCUUCACCGGGGACGAUAAUGACGGUACCCGGAGAAGAAGCCCCGGCUAACUUCGUG